GAUCGCAAGUAGCACAUGAACGAACGAUCGCAGUCAGGAAGGGGGCGCACGAAGCCAGCGAGGAUGCUUCCGAUUACUUGCUCGUCGCAGGCUACGAAGAGGGCCGAGGAACCUCUGUCGACAGAAGAAGAAGAUGGAAUAAGCUGUAGGGCUACGCUCCCUUCUGACGGACGAGGCGCAAGGGUUAAGGAUCGGUCGCGGGCGGAGGUUGCGUCACCGAGGUCGACGAGGCCGAUAGCAAGGAGCGAGAGGGAGGGUAGAAGAGGUUUCGUUGGUCUCGUUGGGUGCAGCGAUGGAGUGGAAUGCGAGACCAAAAAAGGGGUCCGGUAGAGGCAUGUCAAGCAGCGCCUCCAGUUUCUGGUGAGGUCUCCGGCAGCAGUCCUCGACGUGCGACGGAUGUUUUGCUCCGGUAAGAGUAGGUAUGGCUCGAUGAUUAUUUGAAGAAGAGAAAGGAUGUGAGGGGGCUGUUCACAGACAGCUUCAAUUGAGAAGAACACUUUUCCUUUGUCUAUGGUUUUGUAUAAAAAGUUUUGUGCCUGGUUUUGUAUAAAAAGAUGUUUACUUUGUGUGUAAAAUUGGGUGUGUUAGCAUGAAUAGUGUCAAUUUGUGUAUGUAGCAAUCCAAAGGAUUUUUGGAGAGUACAAACUCUAUUGCUUUUCGUGUGUAUUGUGUGGGUUGUUUGUGUGUAUUUCUCUAUAAACUGUUGGUCAUAUGGUGAAUGUACUUACACAUGUAUAUGUUUUUAGGUAUUUUGGUCACAAUUUCAUAUACAUAUAAUGUAAUUGUAUAGUUGUUAUUUGAUGUCCAUUUGACAAUAUAAUAUAUGUGUAUCAUUUUAUGGGUUAAAUGGACUCAUGUGAGUAGGAUUUGAGCUUUAUAUAAAUAAUAGCCCAAAGUUUUUAUCA